AAACCAGUAACACACCAGUAACACAUAGCACAUGGGUACAAAACCAGUAACACAUAGCACAUGGGUACAAAACCAGUAACACACCAGUAACACAUAGCACAUGGGUA